rnacentral:rRNA from 1 species
GCAAUACCAUAGUGGCGCACGGGUGCGUAACACGUAACUAACCUACCUAUAACUGGGGGAUAGCCCGCCGAAAGGCGGAUUAAUACCGCAUAAGCUGCUUGGGUGGCAUCACCUGAAUAGUAAAGAUUUAUUGGUUAUAGAUGGGGUUGCGGGUCAUUAGCUAGUUGGUAAGGUAACGGCUUACCAAGGCGACGAUGACUAGGGGAGCUGAGAGGCUGGUCCCCCACACGGGCACUGAGAUACGGGCCCGACUCCUACGGGAGGCAGCAGUAGGGAAUAUUGGGCAAUGGGCGAGAGCCUGACCCAGCCAUGCCGCGUGCAGGAAGAAGGCUUUCUGAGUCGUAAACUGCUUUUGACAGGGAAGAAUAAGCACUACGUGUAGUGUGAUGACGGUACCUGCAGAAUAAGCACCGGCUAACUCCGUGCCAGCAGCCGC